GUCGACGUUUCGGCCUGAGACAGACCUUUUUCAAGACUGAAAAAGUAUUGAAAAAGGUCUGUCUCAGGCCGAAACGUCGA
rnacentral:pre_miRNA from 1 species